rnacentral:rRNA from 1 species
UAGGGAAUUUUUCACAAUAAGCGAAAGCUUGAUGGAGCAAUGCCGCGUGAACGAUGAAGGUCUUUAAGAUUGUAAAGUUCUUUUAUUUGGGAAGAAUGACUUUAGCAGGUAAUGGCUAGAGUUUGACUGUACCAUUUUGAAUAAGUGACGACUAACCAUGUGCCAGCAGUCGCGGUAAUACAUAGGUCGCAAGCGUUAUCCGGAUUUAUUGGGCGUAAAGCAAGCGCAGGCGGAUUGAAAAGUCUGGUGUUAAAGGCAGCUGCUUAACAGUUGUAUGCAUUGGAAACUAUUAAUCUAGAGUGUGGUAGGGAGUUUUGGAAUUUCAUGUGGAGCGGUGAAAUGCGUAGAUAUAUGAAGGAACACCAGUGGCGAAGGCGAAAACUUAGGCCAUUACUGACGCUUAGGCUUGAAAGUGUGGGGAGCAAAUAGGAUUAGAUACCCUAGUAGUCCACACCGUAAACGAUAGAUACUAGCUGUCGGGGCGAUCCCCUCGGUAGUGAAGUUAACACAUUAAGUAUCUCGCCUGGGUAGUACAUUCGCAAGAAUG